UCCUACGGGGCGCAGCAGUGAGGAAUAUUGGUCAAUGGGCGGGAGCCUGAACCAGCCAAGUCGCGUGAAGGAAGAAGGUACUUAGUAUUGUAAACUUCUUUUGUCGGGGAACAAAGGCGGAGACGCGUCUCCGGAUGAGUGUACCCGAAGAAAAAGCAUCGGCUAACUCCGUGCCAGCAGCCGCGGUAAUACGGAGGAUGCGAGCGUUAUCCGGAUUUAUUGGGUUUAAAGGGUGCGCAGGCGGAGGUGCAAGUCAGCGGUCAAAUUGCGGGGCUCAACCCCGUACUGCCGUUGAAACUGCAUCC
rnacentral:rRNA from 1 species